rnacentral:lncRNA from 1 species
GGCGCGGGAGCGGUAGAUAUUCAAGUGUUUCACCGCGCGCAUGGGCGACACCGUGGCCUACCCGUAGGCUUAUGUGGUGAGGAGGUGGCCUAGCUAGACGCGCUGGCGAGCGACCGACGACGGCGGCGGCGACACGUCUUGCAGCUCUGUCAUCGUUCAUCUGGCACCCGUGAUCUUCAGAAGCGACUAACGGUUGAUCCUUGAGCCGACGGCCUCUCGUGCUUUAACAGAACUUGGAGAUAAACUCAAGGCCUCCAUCUUUUAUUUUGGCGUUGGCUUGAGAUAAACACCGAAUUUGAUGGAAUUUGGAUUUGUUUUCUCAAGUUCUUCUGAAUUGCAACUGAAACCUUCAUUCAGUUUCGUCAGUCGUCGUCAGUGUCAUGGAGCUCACUUAAUGACUCGAUUUCAUG